rnacentral:rRNA from 1 species
AUGGAUGGACCCGCGGUGCAUUAGCUAGUUGGUGAGGUAACGGCUCACCAAGGCCACGAUGCAUAGCCGACCUGAGAGGGUGAUCGGCCACACUGGGACUGAGACACGGCCCAGACUCCUACGGGAGGCAGCAGUAGGGAAUCUUCGGCAAUGGACGAAAGUCUGACCGAGCAACGCCGCGUGAGUGAAGAAGGUUUUCGGAUCGUAAAACUCUGUUGUUAGAGAAGAACAAGGAUGAGAGUAGAACGUUCAUCCCUUGACGGUAUCUAACCAGAAAGCCACGGCUAACUACGUGCCAGCAGCCGCGGUAAUACGUAGGUGGCAAGCGUUGUCCGGAUUUAUUGGGCGUAAAGCGAGCGCAGGCGGUUUCUUAAGUCUGAUGUGAAAGCCCCCGGCUCAACCGGGGAGGGUCAUUGGAAACUGGGAGACUUGAGUGCAGAAGAGGAGAGUGGAAUUCCAUGUGUAGCGGUGAAAUGCGUAGAUAUAUGGAGGAACACCAGUGGCGAAGGCGGCUCUCUGGUCUGUAACUGACGCUGAGGCUCGAAAGCGUGGGGAGCGAACAGGAUUAGAUACCCUGGUAGUCCACGCCGUAAACGAUGAGUGCUAAGUGUUGGAGGGUUUCCGCCCUUCAGUGCUGC